rnacentral:rRNA from 1 species
GAUGAACGCUGGCGGCGUGCCUAAUACAUGCAAGUAGAACGCUGAAGGAGGAGCUUGCUCUUCUGGAUGAGUUGCGAACGGGUGAGUAACGCGUAGGUAACCUGCCUGGUAGCGGGGGAUAACUAUUGGAAACGAUAGCUAAUACCGCAUGACAACAGUUAUUGCAUGAUAACUGUUUAAAAGGGGCAACUGCUCCACUACCAGAUGGACCUGCGUUGUAUUAGCUAGUUGGUGAGGUAACGGCUCACCAAGGCGACGAUACAUAGACGACCUGAGAGGGGGCACGGCCACACUGGGACUGAGACACGGCCCAGACUCCUACGGGAGGCAGCAGUAGGGAAUCUUCGGCAAUGGACGGAAGUCUGACCGAGCAACGCCGCGUGAGUGAAGAAGGUUUUCGGAUCGUAAAGCUCUGUUGUAAGAGAAGAACGAGUGUGAGAGUGGAAAGUUCACACUGUGACGGUAUCUUACCAGAAAGGGACGGCUAACUACGUG